rnacentral:sRNA from 1 species
CCUGGCAUGGUGGUGCAUGCCUGUAGUCCCAGCUACUCGGGAGGCUGAGGCAGGAGGAUCGCUUGAGUCAAGGAGUUUGAAGUUGCUGUGAGCUAGGCUGACGCCACUGCACUCUAGCUUGGGCAACAGAGUGAGACUUAUGGGCUGCUAGUUACACUGGAAUGUAAGUGAUUUUUUUUUUUUUGAGACAGAGUCUUACUCUGUUGCCCUGGCUAGAGUGAGUGCCAUGGCGUCAGCCUAGCUCACAGCAACCUCAAACACCUGGGCUCAAGCAAUCCUCCUGCCU